rnacentral:rRNA from 1 species
UUGAAAGGGAAACGAUUGAAGUCAGUCGUGCCGGCGUUGGAUUCAGCUUGCUUCGCGGAGCAGGCGCAUUUCCACGCAUGGCAGGUCAGCGUCAGUUUUGCGCGGCGUGAAAAGGCUCGGGUAAGGUAGCUCUCUUCGGGGAGUGUUAUAGACCUGGGCAGAUGCGCUGCGCGGGACUGAGGAUUGCAGCGGACACCCCCCCUCGGGGGCGCGGCGACCGAACCCUGCUCGGCCACCCUCGUUCGAUAGCGUGCUAGCGGACGCGGGAGCGGCAGUGCACCGGAACAGGCAAGCCAGCGGUUCGUUAAGGAUGUUGACGUA